AGUGAACGCUGGCGGUAGGCCUAACACAUGCAAGUCGAACGGCAGCACAGUAAGAGCUUGCUCUUACGGGUGGCGAGUGGCGGACGGGUGAGGAAUACAUCGGAAUCUACUUUUUCGUGGGGGAUAACGUAGGGAAACUUACGCUAAUACCGCAUACGACCUACGGGUGAAAGCAGGGGAUCUUCGGACCUUGCGCGAUUGAAUGAGCCGAUGUCGGAUUAGCUAGUUGGCGGGGUAAAGGCCCACCAAGGCGACGAUCCGUAGCUGGUCUGAGAGGAUGAUCAGCCACACUGGAACUGAGACACGGUCCAGACUCCUACGGGAGGCAGCAGUGGGGAAUAUUGGACAAUGGGCGAAAGCCUGAUCCAGCCAUACCGCGUGGGUGAAGAAGGCCUUCGGGUUGUAAAGCCCUUUUGUUGGGAAAGAAAAGCAGCAGGUUAAUACCCCGCUGUUCUGACGGUACCCAAAGAAUAAGCACAGGCUAACUUCGUG
rnacentral:rRNA from 1 species